AUAAAAUUACACGUUGUCAGAUUAAAAGAGCAAUUCCUUUUGUCUUAUGUCUGACCAAAAGACGUGCAAAUUCAGUUGAUCUAACUUGUGCACUGCCAGGUUUGGCAGUAGUCAUAUGUAUUGGAGAUGUUGCUGGCUACAGGGGUGAUGACACCGGAGGUAAGGCAGCGCGCCGGGUCGAGGACGUCGCUGACACCGGGGGCGAGGGCGGCGUCGUGACGACGGCGUAUUGAGGAGAGUUAGGGCUGCAAGGCGGGUCGAGGACGUCGCGGAGACCAGGGGCGAGGGUCGCGUGCCAAGGGCGGCCGGGCGGGGCGGGGCGGAGCGAGGACCGCGGGACGGCGUGCCGACGCGAGGUCCUGAAAGGGAGUACGUACCCCACUACGCUGAGAUCCGGACAUACUGUAUUCUCAAUGGCUCCUGUUAUGAAACACUUCUGAACCCUGCCUGAACUUAGUGUGCUAUGCAAAUCAUGAUGUACUGUUUGGCAGUAGUCAUAUGUAUUGGAGAUGUUGCUGGCUACAGGGGUGAUGACACCGGAGGUAAGGCAGCGCGCCGGGUCGAGGACGUCGCUGACACCGGGGGCGAGGGCGGCGUCGUGACGACGGCGUAUUGAGGAGAGUUAGGGCUGCAAGGCGGGUCGAGGACGUCGCGGAGACCAGGGGCGAGGGUCGCGUGCCAAGGGCGGCCGGGCGGGGCGGGGCGGAGCGAGGACCGCGGGACGGCGUGCCGACGCGAGGUUCGUGGCGUGGUGGCGUUGAUUGCGGAGAUAGGGCAUUAUUCGCUGGAUGGAGUUGUUAUCGUUGGGAUGUGUAGGAGCCUGGACGUGGGAGUCUGCCGGCAGAACAUUUCGUUUGAACCGUCGAUCUAUUUGUAUUAUGGUUGAUGAAACGUGGACUGUUGGAUGGUAGUUAGUGGGUAUGAUCGGACGUCUUGGGUAAUCCUGUGUGCACUUUUUCGUGUGGAUGUAGGGGAAGUAACGUUUGGUCUUUUAAUAGUAGUAUAGAUAUAGA